rnacentral:snRNA from 1 species
AAACUUACCUGAAACUUGGACCAAGGUGAUCACGGAUGCCCUGACCCCAGGUGGAGGCUUGCCCUUGCACUACGGCGGGUUGAAGCCUGCAACAAUCCCUAAUCGGGUGCGUAGUUUUUGCCAGUGGGAAGGUCUUUGGAUCAUCCCUU